rnacentral:rRNA from 1 species
GAUGAACGCUGGCGGCGUGCCUAAUACAUGCAAGUCGAGCGAACAGACGAGGAGCUUGCUCCUCUGACGUUAGCGGCGGACGGGUGAGUAACACGUGGAUAACCUACCUAUAAGACUGGGAUAACUUCGGGAAACCGGAGCUAAUACCGGAUAAUAUAUUGAACCGCAUGGUUCAAUAGUGAAAGACGGCUUUGCUGUCACUUAUAGCUGGAUCCGCGCCGGAUUAGCUAGUUGGUAAGGUAACGGCUUACCAAGGCAACGAUGCGUAGCCGACCUGAGAGGGUGAUCGGCCACACUGGAACUGAGACACGGUCCAGACUCCUACGGGAGGCAGCAGUAGGGAAUCUUCCGCAAUGGGCGAAAGCUUGACGGAGCAACGCCGCGUGAGUGAUGAAGGUCUUCGGAUCGUAAAACUCUGUUAUUAGGGAGGAACAAAUGUGUAAGUAACUAUGCACGUCUUGACGGUACCUAAUCAGAAAGCCACGGCUAACUACGUG